GACGAACGCUGGCGGCGUGCCUAAUACAUGCAAGUAGAACGCUGAAGGAGGAGCUUGCUUCUCUGGAUGAGUUGCGAACGGGUGAGUAACGCGUAGGUAACCUGCCUGGUAGCGGGGGAUAACUAUUGGAAACGAUAGCUAAUACCGCAUAAUAUUGACUAUUGCAUGAUAGUCAGUUGAAAGGUGCAACUGCACCACUACCAGAUGGACCUGCGUUGUAUUAGCUAGUUGGUGGGGUAACGGCUCACCAAGGCGACGAUACAUAGCCGACCCGAGAGGGGGGACGGCCCACCCGGGACUGGGGACACGCCCAAGCCUCUAACGGGGGCAGCAGUAGGGGAUCCUCGGCCAAUGGCCGAAGUCCGAACGGGCCACGCCGGGGUAGGUAAGGAGGGUUUCGGAUCGGAAAGCCCCUGUGUAAGAGAAGAAAGAGUUUGAGAGUGGAAAGCUCACACUGUGACGGUAUCUUACCAGAAAGGGACGGCUAACUACGUG
rnacentral:rRNA from 1 species